UACGUAGGGGGCAAGCGUUAUCCGGAAUUACUGGGUGUAAAGGGUGAGUAGGCGGCAUGGUAAGCCAGAUGUGAAAGCCUUGGGCUUAACCCGAGGAUUGCAUUUGGAACUAUCAAGCUAGAGUACAGGAGAGGAAAGCGGAAUUCCUAGUGUAGCGGUGAAAUGCGUAGAUAUUAGGAAGAACACCAGUGGCGAAGGCAGCGUACCGGCGCCACACUGACGCUGAGGCACGAAAGCGUGGGGAUCGAACAGG
rnacentral:rRNA from 1 species